rnacentral:rRNA from 1 species
UCCGCCCGGGAACUACGAGCAAAAGCUUAAAACCCAAAGGACUUGGCGGUGCUUUAGACCCACCUAGAGGAGCCUGUUCUAGAACCGAUAACCCCCGUUAAACCUCACCUUUUCUUGUUAACCCCGCCUAUAUACCGCCGUCGUCAGCUUACCCUGUAAAGGUGAUUAAGUAAACAAAAUUGGCUCAGCCCAAAACGUCAGGUCGAGGUGUAGCGAAUGAAAAGGGAAGAAAUGGGCUACAUUUCCUAAUUCAGGAAACAACGAAAUACGCAAUGAAACAGAGUAUAAAGGAGGAUUUAGCAGUAAAUAGAAAAUAGAG